rnacentral:tRNA from 1 species
AGGCUCGUAGCUCAGUUGGUUAGAGCACUGCUUUGACAUGGCAGGGGUCAGCGGUUCAAAUCCGCUCGAGCCUA